rnacentral:tRNA from 1 species
CCGGGUGUAGCGCAGUUGGUAGCGCGCCUGCUUUGGGAGCAGGAUGCCGGGGGUUCAAGUCCCUCCACUCGGACCA